rnacentral:rRNA from 1 species
AGCUUGCUUCCUGGUGGCGAGCGGCGGACGGGUGAGUAAUGCAUAGGAAUCUGCCCGGUAGUGGGGGAUAACCUGGGGAAACCCAGGCUAAUACCGCAUACGUCCUACGGGAGAAAGCAGGGGCUCUUCGGACCUUGCGCUAUCGGAUGAGCCUAUGUCGGAUUAGCUGGUUGGUGAGGUAAUGGCUCACCAAGGCGACGAUCCGUAGCUGGUCUGAGAGGAUGAUCAGCCACAUCGGGACUGAGACACGGCCCGAACUCCUACGGGAGGCAGCAGUGGGGAAUAUUGGACAAUGGGCGCAAGCCUGAUCCAGCCAUGCCGCGUGUGUGAAGAAGGCCCUCGGGUUGUAAAGCACUUUCAGUGGGGAAGAAAGCCUUCCGGUUAAUACCCGGGAGGAAGGACAUCACCCACAGAAGAAGCACCGGCUAACUCCGUGCCAGCAGCCGCGGUAAUACGGAGGGUGCGAGCGUUAAUCGGAAUUACUGGGCGUAAAGCGCGCGUAGGUGGCUUGAUAAGCCGGUUGUGAAAGCCCCGGGCUCAACCUGGGAACGGCAUCCGGAACUGUCAGGCUAGAGUGCAGGAGAGGAAGGUAGAAUUCCCGGUGUAGCGGUGAAAUGCGUAGAGAUCGGGAGGAAUACCAGUGGCGAAGGCGGCCUUCUGGACUGACACUGACACUGAGGUGCGAAAGCGUGGGUAGCAAACAGGAUUAGAUACCCUGGUAGUCCACGCCGUAAACGAUGUCGACUAGCCGUUGGGUCCUUCGCGGACUUUGUGGCGCAGUUAACGCGAUAAGUCGACCGCCUGGGGAGUACGGCCGCAAGGUUAAAACUCAAAUGAAUUGACGGGGGCCCGCACAAGCGGUGGAGCAUGUGGUUUAAUUCGAUGCAACGCGAAGAACCUUACCUACCCUUGACAUCCUCGGAAUCCGCCAGAGAUGGCGGAGUGCCUUCGGGAACCGAGAGACAGGUGCUGCAUGGCUGUCGUCAGCUCGUGUUGUGAAAUGUUGGGUUAAGUCCCGUAACGAGCGCAACCCUUGUCCCUAUUUGCCAGCGAUUCGGUCGGGAACUCUAGGGAGACUGCCGGUGACAAACCGGAGGAAGGUGGGGACGACGUCAAGUCAUCAUGGCCCUUACGGGUAGGGCUACACACGUGCUACAAUGGUCAGUACAAAGGGUUGCGAACUUGCGAGAGUGAGCCAAUCCCAGAAAGCUGAUCUCAGUCCGGAUCGGAGUCUGCAACUCGACUCCGUGAAGUCGGAAUCGCUAGUAAUCGUGAAUCAGAAUGUCACGGUGAAUACGUUCCCGGGCCUUGUACACACCGCCCGUCACACCAUGGGAGUGGACUGCACCAGAAGUGGUUAGCC